rnacentral:rRNA from 1 species
CCUACGGGUGGCAGCAGUGAGGAAUAUUGGGCAAUGGGGGCAACCCUGACCCAGCCAUGCCGCGUGAGUGAAGAAGGUCUUCGGAUUGUAAAGCUCUUUCGGACGUGACGAUGAUGACGGUAGCGUCUAAAGAAGCACCGGCAAACUUCGUGCCAGCAGCCGCGGUAAUACGGAGGAUGCGAGCGUUAUCCGGAUUUAUUGGGUUUAAAGGGUGCGCAGGCGGAGGUGCAAGUCAGCGGUCAAAUUGCGGGGCUCAACCCCGUACUGCCGUUGAAACUGCAUCCCUUGAGUGCGCGAGAAGUAUGCGGAAUGCGUGGUGUAGCGGUGAAAUGCAUAGAUAUCACGCAGAACUCCGAUUGCGAAGGCAGCAUACCGGCGCGCAACUGACGCUCAUGCACGAAAGCGUGGGUAUCGAACAGGAUUAGAUACCCCUGUAGUC